rnacentral:rRNA from 1 species
AAUCACACCUAAUGUACUGGAUAGUUACAGUUACUUGGAUAACUGCGGUAAUUCUGGAGCUAAUACAUGCAAAACAGCCCCAACUCACGGAGGGGUGCUUUUAUUAGACUAAAACCAAACGGCUUCGGUCGUCCCAUUGGUGAAUCUGAAUAACUUUGAGCGGAUCGCAUGGCUUCACGCCGGCGACGUAUCCUUCCAAGGUGUGACCUAUCAACUGUCGACUGUGGCAUAGACGCCCACAGUGGUUUUGACGGGUAACGGGGAAUUAGGGUUCGAUUCCGGAGAGGGAGCCUGAGAAACGGCUACCACUUCUAAGGAAGGCAGCAGGCACGCAAAUUACCCACUGGCCAAAGGCCGAGGUAGUGACGAAAAAUAACGAUACCAGACUCAUCCGAGGCCUGGUAAUCGGAAUGAGCACACUUUAAAUCCUUUAACGAGGAACCAUU